UACGGAGGGUGCAAGCGUUAAUCGGAAUUACUGGGCGUAAAGCGCACGCAGGUGGCUGAGUUAGUCGAUUGUGAAAGCCCUGGGCUUAACCUGGGAAUUGCAGUCGAUACUGCUCGGCUAGAGUGUGGGAGAGGGAAGUGGAAUUCCCGGUGUAGCGGUGAAAUGCGUAGAUAUCGGGAGGAACAUCAGUGGCGAAGGCGGCUUCCUGGCCCAACACUGACACUCAGGUGCGACAGCGUGGGGAGCAAACAGG
rnacentral:rRNA from 1 species